UACAGAGGGUGCAAGCGUUAAUCGGAAUUACUGGGCGUAAAGCGUGCGUAGACGGUCAUGUAAGUCGGGUGUGAAAGCCCCGGGCUCAACCUGGGAAUUGCAUUCGAGACUGCAUGGCUAGGGUGCGGAAGAGGGAAGCGGAAUUUCCGGUGUAGCGGUGAAAUGCGUAGAUAUCAGGAGGAACACCGGUGGCGAAGGCGGGUCUCUGGGCCGAUACUGACGCUGAGGAGCGAAAGCGUGGGGAGCGAACAGG
rnacentral:rRNA from 1 species